rnacentral:lncRNA from 1 species
GCAAUCUGUUCUGUUUAAAUGCUUCAUCAUCUUUGCUCUCCCCCUCCCUGUUUCCUUAGAUUUUCGAGAUUGUUGACUAUUAUGUAACAGAUGGCCCAACAGACCUCCGACUCUUUUGCGGUGUUGGCCAGCUUGGCUCAGGAAAAUAGCAGCACUGGAGCAGCAUUUUCAAAAGAUCACUAACUCAUACAUGGGCUUUACCUCUCUAGAUGAAGCUGCACGAUGUCAAGGUAAGCAAAUGACCCUUGCUUCUUUUCAGGGUGAGAGAUGACAUGCAUUGAUUUCCAAAGAAGUUCCCAGAUGAUGGCUGAAACGCAGACUUUGAAUUGUUUUUGCAAUUAUUAAAAUAAGAAAAACCAAUAAUAUAUGAAGU